UGUCCUCCACAGGAGGUCUAUAUUGAGCAGAUUCUUUUUGGUAUUGGGUGGUGGAACCGGAGCGUGCUCCAUCCACUCCAUGCAUUGACCUGGUAUUGCAGUGCUUCCAGGACUGGUGC
rnacentral:snRNA from 1 species